rnacentral:sRNA from 1 species
UUAGAAGUGUGGUGCUUUUGGCAGUGAGUAUUGCCUUGAAUUCAUGGCAAUGAAUUCAAUCCCCAGGGGCUGAGAGAGCCAGUCGUGGGGGACAGUAAGGGAGGAUUUUACUCUUUCACCUGUCCCUGACCCUGACUCCUCCUCAUCUACUCCUACAUUUCCAGGGCUGAGGUAGGGAGGAUAGUUGUGGGGGUAUGACCCCUCUGUCCUUUGUCCCCAGCUCUGGGAGGGUCUCACGGAACUAGUGACGGCAACAGGCAACUAUGGCAACUACCGGCGUCGGCUGGCAGCCUGUGUGGGCUUCCGCUUCCCUAUCCUGGGUGUGCACCUCAAGGACCUGGUGGCCCUGCAGCUGGCACUGCCUGACUGGCUGGACCCAGCCCGGACCCGGCUCAACGGGGCCAAGAUGAAGCAGCUCUUUAGCAUCCUGGAGGAGCUGGCCAUGGUGACCAGCCUGCGGCCACCAGUACAGGCCAACCCCGACCUGCUGAGCCUGCUCACGGUGUCUCUGGAUCAGUAUCAGACGGAGGAUGAGCUGUACCAGCUGUCCCUGCAGCGGGAGCCACGCUCCAAGUCCUCGCCAACCAGCCCCACGAGUUGCACCCCACCACCCCGGCCCCCGGUGCUGGAGGAGUGGACAUCGGCUGCCAAACCCAAGCUGGAUCAGGCCCUCGUGGUGGAGCACAUCGAGAAGAUGGUGGAGUCUGUGUUCCGGAACUUUGACGUCGAUGGGGAUGGCCACAUCUCACAGGAAGAAUUCCAGAUCAUCCGUGGGAACUUCCCUUACCUCAGCGCCUUUGGGGACCUCGACCAGAACCA